AAAAUCCACGGGAUCAACACGCGAAAAAAUAAUUCACUAAGAGAAAAGAUUACAAGGUGAUUACUGACUCCACGGACUUGACUUCUCUUAACCUCCUAUGAAUCUCGUGCAAUACUCCGGGUUGUCCAGGCCCUCACGUUCGAAUCCACGAACGCCACGUUACGAAUCCACGAAACGCCUCUACUCCGAAUCCACGAAUCUUACAAUCCGAAUCCACGAACUGCCGUCAAUCACGCCGAAUCCACGACGCCAUCAUGAAGAACAUCA
rnacentral:lncRNA from 1 species